GAGGGAGCAGCCCUCGCACUACAGAUGGGGGACAGGGCCAGCACCAGGUUGGUGACCGUAGUGGGAGGCCCCAAUGUCGUCCACGCACCACCAAAUGUUGGGGGACCUGCUUAGUUCCACCUGACUGGGUUCCUUCUGGCACAAGAAGUCUAAAGCGUCAUGGGGAUAUGCCCACCUAGAGUCUACAUUCAACCUCUAGACCCUCGAAGUCCUGGGACCCUGGAAUUCUCUAGCCCUGUCAACCUAAGCCUGAGGGGUUCAGGCCUGAACCCAUCCUCCCAAUGGCUGACUGUCCUGCCAACAGUACAUUCCUAGGCUCGAAGGGAAGCCAAAGAAUGUAAGCUCAAUGUGGGCAGAGCUUCAGUCUCCUUUAUUCACUGCUGUGUGCCUAGGAGAGUGCUGGAUUCAUAAAUGUAUGUUAAAGAAGAAAAGAAAGCAAGAAGGAAGGAACGGAUUCUAAAUCUAGCCCUGCAUUCUGACAACAUCCUUGAUUUUCACGAACCAAAAAUGAAAUUACAAAGUCUUUGUUGUCAUAAGAAGAGGCAAUCAAAGAGCAAGAAGCCAUAAAAGCAUUGCUGUGUUCAAGAGAGGGAUCAUGCAGGCAUGCUUGAACCAAAAACGUAAAAAGCCAGCAACUCAUUAAGCAGCAGAAUGACAGUGGUACCAGCGAUUCCCCAAGGGGAGAAUCAUCACUGCUGCUGCUUGGUCCAGCAUCCCCUUCCUGCUUGGAAAUAGGUUUCCAGUGCUCAGGUUUGGAACAUCUUAGUGUGUAUGUCUUGUUAUAAUGGAUGUGAUUCCAUUACAAUCAUACUUCCUCUUUGAGGGGAAAAGUGAAUUACAGGGAGAAAAGGACU